AUGCUUGCUUUUACUUUAAGAAAUGUACCUCUUUGUUAUUUUCCUGUAGCGGGUUCAAAGAGAUAUUUCAACUAUUUCCACGGCCCAUAUAAACGGCAUAAAAAAUAUGCUUAAAUGGAGCAUAUGAUCCAAAAACAAACUAUUUGCUGUGGUUAAACUAUCAACUAUACAAGGGUCUCAAACAUCAGAAAUUAUUAGAUGGAACAAAUCCACUGAAUCGACCAGCCCAAUGGUCACUCAUCACAUUAUCUUCUUUUGUAUUUAAACAAUUCAAGAUGAGAAUAAAGAUGAAAAUUCAUCCAGUUAUCCAUGGUACAUGCGUCAUG
rnacentral:lncRNA from 1 species